rnacentral:tRNA from 1 species
GCACCUGUAGCUCAGUUGGAUAGAGCACUUCAUUGCGGAUGAAGAGGCCACAGGUUCGAAUCCUGUCAGGUGCACCA